UUAAAUUGAAGAGUUUGAUCAUGGCUCAGAUUGAACGCUGGCGGCAGGCCUAACACAUGCAAGUCGAACGGUAACAGGAAGCAGCUUGCUGCUUCGCUGACGAGUGGCGGACGGGUGAGUAAUGUCUGGGAAACUGCCUGAUGGAGGGGGAUAACUACUGGAAACGGUGGCUAAUACCGCAUAACGUCGCAAGACCAAAGAGGGGGACCUUCGGGCCUCUUGCCAUCAGAUGUGCCCAGAUGGGAUUAGCUAGUUGGUGAGGUAACGGCUCACCAAGGCGACGAUCCCUAGCUGGUCUGAGAGGAUGACCAGCCACACUGGAACUGAGACACGGUCCAGACUCCUACGGGAGGCAGCAGUGGGGAAUAUUGCACAAUGGGCGCAAGCCUGAUGCAGCCAUGCCGCGUGUAUGAAGAAGGCCUUCGGGUUGUAAAGUACUUUCAGCGGGGAGGAAGGUGUUGUGGUUAAUAACCACAGCAAUUGACGUUACCCGCAGAAGAAGCACCGGCUAACUCCGUGCCAGCAGCCGCGGUAAUACGGAGGGUGCAAGCGUUAAUCGGAAUUACUGGGCGUAAAGCGCACGCAGGCGGUCUGUCAAGUCGGAUGUGAAAUCCCCGGGCUCAACCUGGGAACUGCAUUCGAAACUGGCAGGCUUGAGUCUUGUAGAGGGGGGUAGAAUUCCAGGUGUAGCGGUGAAAUGCGUAGAGAUCUGGAGGAAUACCGGUGGCGAAGGCGGCCCCCUGGACAAAGACUGACGCUCAGGUGCGAAAGCGUGGGGAGCAAACAGGAUUAGAUACCCUGGUAGUCCACGCCGUAAACGAUGUCUACUUGGAGGUUGUGCCCUUGAGGCGUGGCUUCCGGAGCUAACGCGUUAAGUAGACCGCCUGGGGAGUACGGCCGCAAGGUUAAAACUCAAAUGAAUUGACGGGGGCCCGCACAAGCGGUGGAGCAUGUGGUUUAAUUCGAUGCAACGCGAAGAACCUUACCUGGUCUUGACAUCCACAGAACUUUCCAGAGAUGGAUUGGUGCCUUCGGGAACUGUGAGACAGGUGCUGCAUGGCUGUCGUCAGCUCGUGUUGUGAAAUGUUGGGUUAAGUCCCGCAACGAGCGCAACCCUUAUCCUUUGUUGCCAGCGGUCCGGCCGGGAACUCAAAGGAGACUGCCAGUGAUAAACUGGAGGAAGGUGGGGAUGACGUCAAGUCAUCAUGGCCCUUACGACCAGGGCUACACACGUGCUACAAUGGCGCAUACAAAGAGAAGCGACCUCGCGAGAGCAAGCGGACCUCAUAAAGUGCGUCGUAGUCCGGAUUGGAGUCUGCAACUCGACUCCAUGAAGUCGGAAUCGCUAGUAAUCGUGGAUCAGAAUGCCACGGUGAAUACGUUCCCGGGCCUUGUACACACCGCCCGUCACACCAUGGGAGUGGGUUGCAAAAGAAGUAGGUAGCUUAACCUUCGGGAGGGCGCUUACCACUUUGUGAUUCAUGACUGGGGUGAAGUCGUAACAAGGUAACCGUAGGGGAACCUGCGGUUGGAUCACCUCCUUACCUGAAAGAA
rnacentral:rRNA from 1 species